UAUACAGUAGCCCUACAGAUACUGAUGUGCGUUUAGCAAUGUACAUCUGGUAUGACUUAUCUAUGGACAAUUUAGCAAAUUAGACUAAUGAAUUACAACUUCACUGUCAGUCUUUAGUGCAGCAGGGUUGCAAUGAGAUGGCUGUCACCCCAAGGGAGUGGAGAUUGGAGUUUAGGAUUGGAAGCCAGCUAAGCAAAAUAAGACCUGUGCCAUGUGUAGACCCACAAGACCAUGUCCUUGUCACUCUCCACCUGACCCACAAUGCCCCACUGUACACUGGCAUGGAGAGUCCUGAGGACCGCUGCUUUGUGAUGCACAGAAAACCAACAUGAAAACUGUUUUGACCACACCUAGUAUUCACACAUUCCAUAAUGAAAAACAGAAAGCAUGCAUAGCUACCAUAAAACUUUGAAAAGAAAAAGAGAUCAGUC